GAACUGCGAUAGAUACUAUGAAUAGCAGAAUUCAGUUAGCCGGUGAGUACGCCAAUUUCAGUGCCACAACGCCAUGGCGAUUUAUCGUCAUCGGUGGUGGGGCCUUGCCUGAAAUUCAAUUGGUAUCAAAUCAGGCAGGACUACCCAUUGAACUUGA
rnacentral:misc_RNA from 1 species